rnacentral:lncRNA from 1 species
AUUGGGCUACCCGCGUCCCCAGGGCUGGUUCCAUCCCAUCCGCCUGCGCGGGGGCCGUCGUGGCUCCCGGGGCCCCAGUACCUGGGCAAGGGCCCUGGGCGCGUGGUUGGGAGUCCCCCGCCGCCCCGGGAGACGGGAGACUAAUGGGUGUUGUUGACGAGGCCAGGCACGCAGGCGGAGAAGAGCUGCCACUUGCCCCUCGCUCUCCAGGUGGACUCUGCGGUUUUUACCCCACGGCACAAAGUAGCCAGAAUACAAAAACUUCCUGUUUGCCACCCAGGCCUUCUCCAGCUACUGAGAACUUGUUCCGGUGAUGGAGCCUCAAAGGAAUUUGUGGAUUCCUCUCCCACAAGUGUCCAGGGGCAGGGGUGCUGUGAGAAUGUGCAGUUCACAAAGGGAGUGAGAAUGGCAGUCAAAAGAUGUAUAGAGUUAAGGGAAAGAAGAAAAGACUGAGUGAGCCAACGUAUUUGCUUACUAUUUCUCCUAAUAGAAAACUUUUGGUAAAGGCUUGAUAGCAACUCUAAAGAGUAAGUUACAUUUCCAUAAUUUUCCAAAGACACAGUCAUUCAGUUAACUUUAUUGAGGGCUAUAUGUUGCUAGGUGCUGGACAUACACUCAUUCAAUUGCUGUGUGACUAAAGCCAGGUCUCUACUCUGUGCUAAGAGCUCCUAGUCCAGAAGGGGAACAGUUCAUUAAAGUUCGCUAGGUUCAUAAGUAGUAAGGAUAUUCCACUCAGAAUGAACAGAUAGAAUAUCUCAUGCCUCAAAAAAGAUCAUGGUCUGUGUGUGGACAAGCAUUUUGAUUUGGCUGGGUCAAAGAGUGCUUGUGGGAAAAGCUUGUUAGUGAAAAUAAAAGCAGAAUUUUCCCCCAGCUUUACACGAUGUGAUGUUACAGCAAAAGCCAGCCAAUUUGGAGUUGAAGCUUUGCUUUGUUUGGAAUGGGGAGACAGAAAAGGAAAGCUGUACGUUAAACAUGGGUUCUUUUAGGAAAUUUAAGAACAGAAAUAGCCUGAAGGCCCAAAGGCCAAUUGCUGAUAGGAUUUAGUGGGGUAAGGAGCUUAGGGGAGAAAGAUAUUUAGUUGUUUGGUAACAUCUUCUACAGAAGAAAUAGUAUUGGGUUGAAAAGCCAGGGAAGUGUAUUCUAAUCCUCAUUCUACGAAGUUCAUAUGACCUCAGGCAAGUUAAGUUAUUUCAAUUACUUUUAUGUAAAAGGAGAUUGUAUCAAAGGUUCUAAGUCCUCUCCUGCUCAAAAAUUCCAUGAUUCCGUGAUUCUUUGGCGAACUUGAAGUCAUGGAGUUUAACUUAACAUUCACCCAACAGAAUAUUUAGGAUCUACUAACUGCUUGGGAAACUGGAGUGAAACAUGGGUCAUGCUCUUAACCAAGCUCAAUUGUGCAGUGGGGCAGCCAGAAACGUAGCCUGCAGAAUGAGAAGUGCUGUAUUAAAGAAGUAAAGAGAAUGAGAAAAGAGCAUUACUAAUCAUCAAUUAACUAAUAAUGGAACUAUUAAUUCAGGUUGGAAUUGUGGGGCAUGAGGUAAAGGUCAAAGAAGGAAACAUUAGAUUGGUCCUGGAGAGAGCACUAGGGCCAGUGAUAAUGUAGAUAAUAUAGAUAAUGCUCUUGGCAAAAUACCUGGAAUUUGGGUGUUCAACAAAUAAUACCUAUUGUUAAAGUCACCGUAAAGAUAAUGAAUGGCUCCAUAAGGUUAGGGGCAGUAGUGCCCUGCCCCUACAAUGUGAGGUGCCUGGCUGCCUUCAUUCAGCUGACUCAAGGGGUUGCUCAAAUGAUUUCAGCUCACAGCUCCUCUCCCAGGUGACUUGGCAUCACCUCCACCAGAAGUAACUUGUAAGGUGUAAAUUGUUUCUAAUGUUUAGUUCUUCCUUGUGUGACAACCUGUUUUGUAAUUAUUUUUUCUCUCUUGUUUUUGCUAUGUCAAUCCUUGAAAUUAAGGAUCAUGUUUCACAGGCACUCUUGGAAGCAUACAAAUUUGACCUAAUGCAAUUAUUUCAUAAAAUAUAAAAAGGGCCCUUUUCCCAUAAGGUCCCUCAGAAUAGUUCCACAAGCAGACACCAGCUACCACAAAGAAGAUUGUUUCCUCUCAGUCUCUUUUAUUUUCUCUUGUUGGUGUGGGGUCCUGCCAGCCUCUCACAACCCUGAGAAGGGCAGUGGUAAGAGGGAAGAUGCCGAAUCCAAUUGCAGUAUUACAAUGAUUAUCUCUUAUCCCCUUAUCCACCAAAUGUUGUGACAAAAAGAGGCCUGCCUAAGGGCAAAUAAGGCAGACCCCAGAAUCCUUUGCACCUCCCUAGUUUGGGAGAUGCUUUUUCCUGCGCCUUUCAAUGAGUCUCAGUGUUAUCUGUGUACAUAACUGUGAGUAUGUAUAACUAAGAAUUUCACAGGAUCUAUCACUGAGUUACCUAAGAAGUUUCUGAAUUGAAUGAUUAUGUAAGCUGGGGUAUAGACCUCUACUUAUCCACCAUGACCAGCAGCAUCCCUCACAUGUAAAAAAUGUAGAAUAAAUAUGAAUUUAUUUUGUUGAUUUUAAGGUACUUUGUUUCCUUCCAGUCAAUAACUUUUCUAAGAGUCCCUUCAUUUUUACUGGCUGUUUCUGAUGCUUUCCAGUUACUUGUAUCCUCAGUUCUCUGGCUAAGAAAUUUUCUUUCUCUACCCAUAAAGACUGGAUUGGUUUACUAGGAAGGUAUUUCUUGGCUCAGCCUUAGUUUACACAGCCUUGUUUGUCAUUGUUAGUCCCAGUGUCUUUGGACCCCCAGAAUCCAAUGUGCCGCUUGACAUCUGGGUGCACUUCCACUGCAUCCUGAGGGGAAAACCUGCUGUGUCCUACACCAAGGGCUGGGCCCUGGAGUUGGAAAGGUGCAUAAGCCUUGGUUUGACGUCAGAUAACUCAGUGAUUAUUUUCUGUAUUUCUCUUUUGAGAUAACUCUCAGGGAAGGUAUAUACCAAAAAAGGCUCAUGUCAUGGUAAGGAGCCUGUACACAUGAAACAAAACCGUGAGCACCUUAGUAUGUCAAAAGGCAAAAAUUUUUAAAGAAAUAUUUAAC